GACGAACGCUGGCGGCGUGCUUAACACAUGCAAGUCGAACGAAAAUACCAAGCUUGCUUGGUUGAUUAGUGGCGAACGGGUGAGUAACACGUGAGUAACCUGCCCCUUACUUUCCUGGAUAACUGCUCGAAAGGGUAGCUAAUACGGGAUAUUCUGACCAGCCUGCAUGGGUUGGUUUGGAAAGGUUGUUUUUCUGGUAAGGGAUGGGCUCGCGGCCUAUCAGCUUGUUGGUGGGGUGAUGGCCUACCAAGGCUUUGACGGGUAGCCGGCCUGAGAGGGUGGACGGUCACACUGGGACUGAGAUACGGCCCAGACUCCUACGGGAGGCAGCAGUGGGGAAUAUUGCACAAUGGGCGCAAGCCUGAUGCAGCGACGCCGCGUGAGGGAUGAAGGCCUUCGGGGUGUAAACCUCUUUCGUCAGGGAACAAGGCACUGCUUUUGUGGUGGUGUUGAGGGUACCUGGAUAAGAAGCGCCGGCUAACUACGUG
rnacentral:rRNA from 1 species